rnacentral:rRNA from 1 species
CGUGCUUAACACAUGCAAGUCGAACGGAAAGGCCCUGCUUUUGUGGGGUGCUCGAGUGGCGAACGGGUGAGUAACACGUGAGUAACCUGCCCUUGACUUUGGGAUAACUUCAGGAAACUGGGGCUAAUACCGGAUAGGAGCUCCUGCUGCAUGGUGGGGGUUGGAAAGUUUCGGCGGUUGGGGAUGGACUCGCGGCUUAUCAGCUUGUUGGUGGGGUAGUGGCUUACCAAGGCUUUGACGGGUAGCCGGCCUGAGAGGGUGACCGGCCACAUUGGGACUGAGAUACGGCCCAGACUCCUACGGGAGGCAGCAGUGGGGAAUAUUGCACAAUGGGCGGAAGCCUGAUGCAGCAACGCCGCGUGCGGGAUGACGGCCUUCGGGUUGUAAACCGCUUUCGCCUGUGACGAAGCGUGAGUGACGGUAAUGGGUAAAGAAGCACCGGCUAACUACGUGCCAGCAGCCGCGGUGAUACGUAGGGUGCGAGCGUUGUCCGGAUUUAUUGGGCGUAAAGGGCUCGUAGGUGGUUGAUCGCGUCGGAAGUGUAAUCUUGGGGCUUAACCCUGAGCGUGCUUUCGAUACGGGUUGACUUGAGGAAGGUAGGGGAGAAUGGAAUUCCUGGUGGAGCGGUGGAAUGCGCAGAUAUCAGGAGGAACACCAGUGGCGAAGGCGGUUCUCUGGGCCUUUCCUGACGCUGAGGAGCGAAAGCGUGGGGAGCGAACAGGCUUAGAUACCCUGGUAGUCCACGCUGUAAACGGUGGGUACUAGGUGUGGGGUCCAUUCCACGGGUUCCGUGCCGUAGCUAACGCUUUAAGUACCCCGCCUGGGGAGUACGGCCGCAAGGCUAAAACUCAAAGGAAUUGACGGGGCCCCGCACAAGCGGCGGAGCAUGCGGAUUAAUUCGAUGCAACGCGUAGAACCUUACCUGGGUUUGACAUGGAUCGGGAGUGCUCAGAGAUGGGUGUGCCUCUUUUGGGGUCGGUUCACAGGUGGUGCAUGGCUGUCGUCAGCUCGUGUCGUGAGAUGUUGGGUUAAGUCCCGCAACGAGCGCAACCCUUGUUCACUGUUGCCAGCACGUUAUGGUGGGGACUCAGUGGAGACCGCCGGGGUCAACUCGGAGGAAGGUGGGGAUGACGUCAAGUCAUCAUGCCCCUUAUGUCCAGGGCUUCACGCAUGCUACAAUGGCUGGUACAGAGAGUGGCGAGCCUGUGAGGGUGAGCGAAUCUCGGAAAGCCGGUCUCAGUUCGGAUUGGGGUCUGCAACUCGACCUCAUGAAGUCGGAGUCGCUAGUAAUCGCAGAUCAGCAACGCUGCGGUGAAUACGUUCCCGGGGCUUGUACACACCGCCCGUCAAGUCAUGAAAGUUGGUAACACCCGAAGCCGGUGGCCUAACCGUUGUGGGGGAGCCGUCGAAGGUGGGACUGGUGAUUAGGACUAAGUCGU